UACGGAGGGUGCAAGCGUUGUCCGGAUUUAUUGGGUUUAAAGGGUGCGUAGGCGGAUUGAUAAGUCAGUGGUGAAAUCUCCGGGCUUAACCCGGAAACUGCCAUUGAUACUGUCGAUCUUGAAUAUGGUUGAUGUGGGCGGAAUAUGACAUGUAGCGGUGAAAUGCUUAGAUAUGUCAUAGAACACCGAUUGCGAAGGCAGCUCACAAAGCCAUUAUUGACGCUGAGGCACGAAAGUGCGGGGAUCAAACAGG
rnacentral:rRNA from 1 species